UACGUAGGGGGCAAGCGUUGUCCGGAUUUAUUGGGCGUAAAGAGCGUGUAGGCGGCCAGGGAGGUCCGUUGUGAAAACUCGAGGCUCAACCUCGAGACGCCGAUGGAAACCCCCUGGCUAGAGUCCGGAAGAGGAGAAUGGAAUUCCUGGUGUAGCGGUGAAAUGCGCAGAUAUCAGGAGGAACACCAAUAGCGAAGGCAGCUCGCUGGGACGUUACUGACACUGAGGCGCGAAAGCGUGGGGAGCGAACAGG
rnacentral:rRNA from 1 species